GAUGAACGCUGGCGGCGUGCCUAAUACAUGCGAGUCGAGCGAACAGAUAAGGAGCUUGCUCCUUUGACGUUAGCGGCGGACGGGUGAGUAACACGUGGGUAACCUACCUAUAAGACUGGGAUAACUUCGGGAAACCGGAGCUAAUACCGGAUAAUAUUUCGAACCGCAUGGUUCGAUAGUGAAAGAUGGUUUUGCUAUCACUUAUAGAUGGACCCGCGCCGUAUUAGCUAGUUGGUAAGGUAACGGCUUACCAAGGCGACGAUACGUAGCCGACCUGAGAGGGUGAUCGGCCACACUGGAACUGAGACACGGUCCAGACCCCUACGGGAGGCAGCAGUAGGGAAUCUUCCGCAAUGGGCGAAAGCCUGACGGAGCAACGCCGCGUGAGUGAUGAAGGUCUUCGGAUCGUAAAACUCUGUUAUUAGGGAAGAACAUACGUGUAAGUAACUGUGCACGUCUUGACGGUACCUAAUCAGAAAGCCACGGCUAACUACGUG
rnacentral:rRNA from 1 species